rnacentral:rRNA from 1 species
UACAGAGGGGGCGAGCGUUGUUCGGAAUUACUGGGCGUAAAGCGCACGUAGGCGGCUUUGUAAGUUAGGGGUGAAAGCCCGGUGCUCAACACCGGAAUUGCCUUUAAGACUGCAUCGCUUGAAUCCAGGAGAGGUGAGUGGAAUUCCGAGUGUAGAGGUGAAAUUCGUAGAUAUUCGGAAGAACACCAGUGGCGAAGGCGGCUCACUGGUCCGGUACUGACGCUGAGGUGCGAAAGCGUGGGAGCAACAGG